UACGAAGGGGGCUAGCGUUGCUCGGAAUCACUGGGCGUAAAGCGCACGUAGGCGGAUUGCUAAGUCAGGGGUGAAAUCCUGGAGCUCAACUCCAGAACUGCCUUUGAUACUGGCGAUCUUGAGUCCGGGAGAGGUGAGUGGAACUGCGAGUGUAGAGGUGAAAUUCGUAGAUAUUCGCAAGAACACCAGUGGCGAAGGCGGCUCACUGGCCCGGUACUGACGCUGAGGUGCUAAAGCGUGGGGAGCAAACAGG
rnacentral:rRNA from 1 species